UGAGCAGAAGCAGCAAAAUCUCUCCUAUAGCUGCAUGCACACCCCGAGUGCUAUGAGCCAGAGCUAGACCUGGCUAAUGAUGCUAAUAACCUUAGUGCACCUCGUAUCACCCAAAUAUUCCUGAGGUUCAUGUGGCCAAAGUGCGUCAUUCAUUGGCCAGGCAAAAUAAGGCAACAACAACAACAACAAAAACCCUAACGUGGUUCCAAGCAACCUUAUGAGCCAUCCAGAUGGCCAGAGACAAGGAAAUAACUUGCAAAUGAUCUCGACGUCCUCCUGCGUCAUUUCCUGCAGUAAAGACCAGGCACUCUCACAAGAUGGUGAACGGCGGGUGCUCUGGAGACGUCCACAAUGGCUGUGUCUCCUCCGGGAUGGCACAAAAGGAUCCUCCAAAAAUAGGCCUCUGGGAUAAAGAGCUCCUGACAUUCUGACCUUGACUCUGCAGACUGCCAGGACUUCAAGAGAGGGAGAGUCCAAGGUGGCAGCCACUUGAGCACUCACUGGGCUCAGAGUAACAAGGGAUUAGCCCAAAGGAACCGGCUUCUUCUCAAGAUCAUCUGCGAGCCUAAAUCUUUGUGGCCGUCUGACAACGACCCUGUCUUCAGCUGACUUAAGGAAAAGUCCCGCAACACUGCUUCAGAAGUGGCCUGAGACCCAACCCUGCCAGUGUGGCAUGAAGGGAAAUUUUCUCAUUGAUUCAGAAAGACAGAGAGGCAUACCAGCACAAAAGCACUAUGAUCUCUCGUUGAAUGGGAAACAUCCAUGUCUAUAUGUGAAGUCUGGAACUGUGGCAGCCAUCUGGGGACCAUGAGGACAGCUAAUUGAUGACAAGAGCAACAUGCUGAGGGUGGGCAAAGAGAAAAGGUGGGAAAAACUGAGGUCCUGGGGGAAGCAGUUGAACCAACUUCAGUGCCACCUUAAUUUGGGGCUUCCUGUAUGUGAGAUAAAAUUUCCUUAUUGUGAAAGUCAUUCCGAGUUGAGUUUUCUAG
rnacentral:lncRNA from 1 species